AACUUUUAGAUUCCUGACGCAUCAGCUCUACACACUGGUCUGAAAGGUUAUAAAAGGAGGAAAAGUAGAAUUGAAAGUGGGUUAAAUUCUUUAGUGACACAGGCUAGUUUCAAACAAAA
rnacentral:snoRNA from 1 species